UACGUAGGAAGCAAGCGUUGUCCGGAAUGACUGGGCGUAAAGGGUGCGUAGGCGGUCUUUUAAGUUUGAUGUGAAAUCCUGUGGCUCAACCAUAGAACUGCAUCAAAUACUGGGAGGCUAGAGUGCGGAAGAGGUAGACGGAAUUACUAGUGUAGCGGUAGAAUGCGUAGAUAUUAGUAAGAAGACCGGUGGCGAAGGCGGUCUACUGGGACGUAACUGACGCUGAGGCACGAAAGCGUGGGGAGCAAACA
rnacentral:rRNA from 1 species